rnacentral:lncRNA from 1 species
UUUGUUAAAUUUUCUGUAAAAAUUGUGGUUUUAGAAAAAACCAUUUAGUUUGUAUACGUUUUACUCUUCCUACUUCUUUGGCUUAUUGAUGGAAGAGAUUGGGGUGGUUAGUAAACUUGGUAGUAUGAAAAAACAUUUCAAAUUUUAUUGUAACAUAUUUAUUAGGUAUAUCCUAAUAUCCUAAACACUGUUCUGAGCACUAGAAAAAUGAGUGAACCAGAUGGAGACAUCCCCUGCUUUUUAGAGUGGUAUUUUAGAGAGAAAGAGGCAGAAAAAUACACAGAGAAGCAACAAAUAAACAACCUAAUGGCUAGGGAAAAGUUUAUAUAGUCUAGUGAUUUUUAAAAACUAUCAUAAAAAUUGAGAGCCAGAAAAUAACUUAUUCAAUCUCAUAAAAAUUGCAGUGGGUCCGUUAACCUCUUUCGAAUAAGCUUAUGCCACCAUCUCAANGGUUUUUUUUUUUUUUCUUUCCUGGUUUUCAGCAACAAUUCUCCAGGUGCCAAAAAAAUGCUGAUUUCACUUAACAUUUUUCAUUCAACAAAUGAAUAAAACUACCGCUAUUUAGGGCUAGUGGUUAGACUCUUAAUCUGUAGUUAAACUUAUUACCCACAUACUAACUUGGGCUAAGCUUCUCUCUGAAAUGCAAUUAAUCAAAGAUGAGGCUGAUUUUUCCCAGAAGGUAUAGUACUGUAAGUAAUGUCCCCACUCUCUUUCCAAAUCCACCAGGAACUUGGGAGAUCAAUUGUUUGAGGAAAUCUUGCAACACACUGAAGCAGGAGAUAGGUGGGUCCCAGGCUGGGCAACGGUAAUCUCUUCUCUGUGGACAGAUAACUUCAAGAUAAAAGCUGUGUCCCGCAUGGAUAAAAGAUAGAAACUAUCUGUUUCUCAUUCUUGAGGUUGAGGGGUCCUCCGGAACUACACACUUGCAGAAAGGUUCCCUCAGGGGUCAGAGAAGGGAAGGGCACUGGACUUAUUUGCCUCACUACCCUCAGUCUCUUUGCGGAAUUCUAUCUCCAAAGGGACAAGCUCUGGGGACUCACAUCAAGUGGUUCAGGUUCAGUGUUCUCACCCCACGGCCACCUGAGAAUAACUCCAGAGCCACCCUCUUUUCUAUCCUUGUUGUGUUGUAGUACUUCCUGUCAACCUCCUGGAAGCUUGUGCUACAAUCCAUCCUGGGUAGAAGAUGCACAUGCACAAAGGCGGGCCCUGAGCCCAGGCCAAAAUCAGACGAAGCAAGAUGAAGGAAGGUCUGCCCCCAUACAGGUGGUUUAAAUGCCUUCUAGCACAUGUGCUGCUCUCUUUCUCCCUUCUUCCUCUCUGUCUCUCUCUCUCCCUUCCCGCACCCCUCCUCUACCCACACCGCCUGUGCUUUUUCUCCACACCUAGCUUCCCCUCUUCUCUCUAAGUAAACACUUAUUUGCCUCACUACCCUCAGUCUCUUUGCGGAAUUCUAUCUCCAAAGGGACAAGCUCUGGGGACUUACAUCAAGUGGUUCGGGUUCAGUGUUCUCACCCCACGGCCACCUGAGAAUAACUCCAGAGCCACCCUUUUUCUAUCCUUGUUGUGUUGUUAACUUCCCUCCAUAUGUUUCUCUGCAGCCACCUAUUUCCCAUGAUUUCUUCCCCAAACUAUUUUAUUUUAAAUUCUGAAACAGUUAUUUCUUUACUUAUUUCAUGCUAAAUAAAUGAAUUUUAAAUAAUCACCUACUACUUUAAAAAUAAUUUCCACCAAUUUUCAUUUCCUGAAUCCUUGAUUCUUAACUGACAAAAGCAUCUCCCUACGUAGCCUUGUCCUGUGGAUGUGAUUUCAUUCUCCACAUCCCAUGUAUCCUGAGAGCAGGAAGUUGAGAAUCUGAAUCUUACUCAGUUUUCAGUGUACCUUUCAGUAUAUUGCACCUCUGUCCUGUGAAUCGCAUGUCAACUUGCUCUACCCACUUUGUUCCUCAUUCUUGUUCCCAGAGAAAUUCUGUAUUUCUGUUACUUGACCCCUUGAAGCUCUUGACAAUGAUUUUCUACUAUCUUCUAGCAGUGACUGUUUAGGUUGUUUGGUUCUUUCUCUUCAUUCUGUUCUUCCUUUGAACUGUUCAUCUGCCCAGGCAAGAGAUAGGAGCAUUCUCCUUGAAUUCUCCAUCUUUCUCACCACCAGCUUGGGUUGGUCUUAAAAACAAUCAAACAUGCACACACACACACACACACACACACACACACACACACACCAAAACUAAGGUAGGCAUAGGUUUUGUUAGCAUAAGCAUUUUGUUUUAUUUCUAAUUAAGCCCAAGUGGAUAGCAUCUGUGAUCCUUUUACUUUCUUUGCUUAAUAAUUUGUCUUCAAUGUAAUGUAAAAAGUGAGAUUUGGCAAUAAUAAUAAUAACUGUGGAUAUUAGAAUAGUAAAUAUGCCUAGUGAUAUAUACAUGUAUGCACUCUGGGAAAGACAGGCUAAUUGUCUUCCGGGAGAUCUCUCAAGCUGGCCUCCCGUCAACCAGUUUGCCAUAAUUCAGUGUCUGGCUCUGCCUACAGACUCUGAAAUCUAACUUUGUCAGCAGCUAUAGCAUGAUCCCAUCUCUCACGGACUCAAUUUACUUAAGUUCAGGAACUUGCUUUCUGUAAUCAAGGUGUCUACUUCUUAUUCCCAUGAUUAAAGCUGUCACUUAAAUUGGAAAUGUUAGUAGUGCAUUCGCUCCAUGAAUAAAGCCAUAUAACAGCAGAACCUCACUGGGAUUGGAAAGUAAAAUUUGGGGCAUGGUGUCAGAGGUAUCUAGCUAACAUACUUUCUUUCAUUUAUCCCCAUACUGGAUCAGCUUUAUCUGUGGGACCUGAAUGAUCCAAACCCAUGGGCUAAGGUUCCUUCUUUGCCAGGGCAGCAUGUGACUGAGAAAUGCCAAAGUGGCUGCUCUAACACUCCUUUCUCUUUUGUCUGUGGCAUUUCUCCAGAUUGCACCUGUUACAUCCGUUCUGACAAAUACUGUCUUUGUUUUGCCUCAUUAAUACGUUAGACCAGGUUGCAGUGACAUCUUCGUGGCCUGUGAUUCAUUCUCCUUCCUUAGGAUGAUUUGCGUAGUUUUCUUUGAUUCAAAUUAUAUGAGAAGAAACUUAUGUACCACUUAAUCCUAAGUACUUUGGGAUUUCUUGGUGUUAUCCUCAUGUAAUGAGAAGAAAAUCAUGCCCACAUAGUUUUUUAUACUUGAUAAAAUGUUUUUCAUUUCUUUUUUCCAUUUUUAAAAUCAUAAUGCUAACCAAGCUCUUUGGUCCAGGGUAAGUUGUUAUUUUCUCAUUUUACAAAUGAGCCUGUAAAGACAUUAGGAUAAACCUGGAAAGUGACCGUCUUGCUUCCAACUCGAAUAGCCACAGCAGAGGAUUCUAGCCAACAGAUUUGAGUGGAGGAUAGUUUGGGGGAUUUUCAUUCAUUAAACACGAUUAUAACCAAGUUCCCUUAUAUGUCUUUUUUUGUCUUUAAAUUGUCCUUGAUAGAGACAGAAAGACCAAAUGAAGGCAGAGUGAGGCAUUGUCAGGAAUAGAGAUGUGGAUGUAAAGUUGUGCUUCUUGUUACCUUCCUUCUCGCUUUUUUUCCUCAUCCUCAGUGGAAUCUUAAUCUUCAGAGAUCAUGGACCUAGUUUCCUAAUACUAGCCAUCUUUUUCUUUUCAUCUCAGUUUUUCAACUAAUCCAUGAGUCUGGUUAUGGCUUCAUAUAGGUAGUAAUUUGAGCACAAACCUCCCCAAGUAGCCAGGUUUUCUUCCUUUUGUCCUGAAUCAAAGGUUAAUGGACUAUCUUGAAUUCUAUAAAUGGGUAAAAUUUAUGGCACACUUUCCAUAUUAGACAAAAAAUUCAUUGCUAAGUAUAGCACAAUUGCAAACAUGAAAAAAUAGUAAGAAGUAUUAUAAUCUACUUCUCUACUCUUCAUUUCUCAUUUUCAGUAAGAUGGUAAUUAGACAUUCAUAAAUGAAGUCUUCCGUAUUGGUUACUUAGUCUAUAUUAUCAUCAACAAACCGCAGUGUAUGUAUACAUACAAUUCAGUAAAUUUGAAACUUCCUUCCUAUAAAUGAACAAGUGGAAGUUUGUGUUCACUGUUCUGUAUGGUAAAAUGGAUAAUCAUGCUAGGUUUAGAUGUGAGUACAAAAUGUUACUAAUACCUGUAACCACACUGAAAUUUACAGCAAAAAAAGUCAUCUAGAUGCUACACAGGGUAAUGAAAAUGAGACUAUGGGGUAGAGUUUUGAAUAAGAAUAGAGAAUUAUAUGCUUAAAUAUAUAAAAUAUUUUAUUCUUGGCUUUUAUAUAUACUGCCUUCAAAACAACUUGAGCAGUUAAAUGGCUUUAUCAAUCAAAGAGAUUGUACCCUUACAAACUGCAUAAUUUUUUAGCAAAAGUUUCUAGGGUAACAGAGAACAGGUAAUUCACUUUAUCUAGUCUUUUUUUUUUUUCUUUUUUUUUAGUAGAUGUAAUUAGAACACUGGUGAACUUUUUAUAUAUUUGUGUAUCAAUUUUUGACUUUUGAGAAUCUUAAAAGGUAAUUAUAAUUUGAUUCAUAAUAGCAUUGUAAACAAUAAAAUAUGUAGGAAUAAAUUUAACAAAACAAGCAUGAAAUUUAUGCUCUAAAAAUUAUAAAACAUUGUUGAAAUUUUUAAAAAUCAAAAAAUAUGGGAAAAUAUCCCUAGUUCAUGGAUCAGAAGUUAUAAUAUUUUUAAAAUAAUAAUAAUCCCUAAACUGACUUAUAGUUUCAGUGAAAUCUUUAUCAGAAUUUCAGCUAAUUUCUUUGUAGAAAUUGAAAAGUUGAUUCUAGAAUUCAUAUGGAUUUGCAGGGGACCCAGAAUAGUCAAAACAAUACUAAAAAAAGGAGACUCAAGUAAGAGAAUUCACACUUUUUAAUUUUAAAACUACUGCAAAGCAAUGAUAAUCAAAACAGUAUGGCAAUAGUACAAGGCUAAACAUAUAUCUUAAUGAAAUAUAGUUGAGAGUCAAGAAAAAAGUUCAUACAUAACUCUAUGGUCAACUGAUUUUUGAUAAGGGUACCACGACCUUUUGAUGGGGAAAGAAUACUCUUUUCAACAAAUCAUUCAUAGGCAAUUGGUUAGUCCCUUACAACCAGAACAAAGUUGGACCCUUAUCUCACUGCAUAUUCAAAACUUAACUCAAAAUGUAUCAAUAACAUAACUUUGAGAGCUAAAACUAUUUAAAAAUUUACAAGGAAACAUUAGGUUAAAUAUUCAUGACAUUUUCAAAGUAUUAUUAGCUAUGACACCAAAAGCAUAAGCCACAAAAGAAAAAUAGAUGAAUUGGACCUCAAAAUUAAAAAGUAUUACGCUUCAUGAGAGACCAUCAAUAAGGUGAAAGUAUAACUCAUAAGAGGGUGAGAAUAUCUGCAAAUCAUGUAUAUGAUCAGGGAUUUGUAUGCAUGAUAUACAAAGAACUUAAGAUUCAAUAAUAAAAGACAACACAAUUAAGAAUGGGCAAAGAAUCUGAAUAGGUAUCUCUCCAAAGAAGUUAUACAAAUGCCAAUAAGCAUGUGAAAAGAUGCUCAACACCAUUGGGAAAUGCAAGUCAAAACUACAUAAGAUACCACUUCACACACAUUAGGACCACUAGAAUAAGAAACUCAAGAGAAAGAAUGAUGAGGAAGUGGAGAAAUCAGAAUUCUCAUACAUCCUUGGUGGGAGUGUAAAGUAGCACAGCCACUGUCAAAAGUAGUCUGGCAGUUUCUCAAUUAUAUGCAGAAUUACCAUAUGACCUAGAAAUUCUACUCCUAGAUAUUUACUUAAAAGAAACGAAAAAGAAAUAUGUCCACACCAACCUUAAAUAUGAAAGUUUAAAGCAGCAUUAUUUAUAAUAGCCAAAAGGUGGAAAUAACCCAAAUACAAAUGGGUAAAAAUAAAAUGGAAUAUUAGCUAUACAAAGAAAUGAAGUGCUGAUACCUGUUACAACACAGAUGAACCUUGAAAACAUUAUGCUGAGUGAAGUCAGUCACAAAACACCAAACACACGAUCAAAUUCAUAUGAAAUUCCAGACUAGGAAAUCUAUG